GUACUCGCUUUGGCAGCACAUAUAUUAAAAUUGGAAAGAUACAGAGAAGAUUAGAAUGGCCCCUGCACAAGGGUGACAUGCAAAUUCAUGAAGCAUUCCAUAUUUUA
ensembl:snRNA U6 U6 spliceosomal RNA